GUAGGGCGCAAGCGUUGUCCGGAAUUAUUGGGCGUAAAGAGCUCGUAGGCGGUCUGUCGCGUCGGAUGUGAAAGCCCGGGGCUUAACCCCGGGUCUGCAUUCGAUACGGGCAGACUAGAGUGUGGUAGGGGAGAUCGGAAUUCCUGGUGUAGCGGCGAAAUGCGCAGAUAUCAGGAGGAACACCGGUGGCGAAGGCGGAUCUCUGGGCCAUUACUGACGCUGAGGAGCGAAAGCGUGGGGAGCGAACAGGAUUAGAUACCCUGGUAGUCCACGCCGUAAACGGUGGGAACUAGGUGUUGGCGACAUUCCACGUCGUCGGUGCCGCAGCUAACGCAUUAAGUUCCCCGCCUGGGGAGUACGGCCGCAAGGCUA
rnacentral:rRNA from 1 species